rnacentral:rRNA from 1 species
UAGGGAAUCUUCCGCAAUGGGCGAAAGCCUGACGGAGCAACGCCGCGUGAGUGAUGAAGGUCUUCGGAUUGUAAAACUCUGUUAUUAGGGAAGAACAUAUGUGUAAGUAACUAUGCACGUCUUGACGGUUCCUAAUCAGAAAGCCACGGCCAACUACGUUCCAGCAGCCGCGGUAAUACGUAGGUGGCAAGCGUUGACCGGAAUUAUUGGGCGUAAAGCGCGCGUAGGCGGUUUUUUAAGUCAGAUGUGAAAGACCACGGCUCAACCGUGGAGGGUCAUUGGAAACUGGAAAACUUGAGUGCAGAAGAGGAGAGUGGAAUUCCAUGUGUAGCGGUGAAAUGCGCAGAGAUAUGGAGGAACACCAGUGGCGAAGGCGACUUUCUGGUCUGUAACUGACGCUGAUGUGCGAAAGCGUGGGGAUCAAACAGG